rnacentral:rRNA from 1 species
UACGUAUGUGGCAAGCGUUGUCCGGAAUUAUUGGGCGUAAAGCGCGCGCAGGCGGUCCUUUAAGUCUGAUGUGAAAGCCCACGGCUCAACCGGGAGGGUGCGCCGAAUACUGAGGGACUUGGAGUGCGGGAGAGGAAAGUGGAAUUCCUGGUGUAGCGGUGAAAUGCGUAGAUAUCAGGAGGAACACCGGUGGUGUAGACGGCUUUCUGGACCGUAACUGACGCUGAGACACGAAAGCGUGGGUAGCAAACAGG